ACUAAAAUCAAACUAGUCCUACAAGCUAAAGAAUAUCAAAAACAUUCGGAAUUUUUAAGUGAUUUUCAACAUGCUAUAAAUCGGAGAAAAAUAAUCGUACAGUACAAACAAUACACAGCGAGUUGAAGCUUCAAGUGUCUAGUUUUUAAAUGUAGACUUGAAAAAUUUAUCAUGGAGGGUUUCGAAGUAAUCCUAAUUAACCGAUUUAAAUCGUUUUUGUGGCAAUCGAAAGAGUUUGUUGGCUGUCAACUUUAUCAAAUAUUUCAGGUCAUUUAAUCGAAUAGACUCAAAGAUAAUUAAAAAUUACGAAAAAAAAAUAGUAUAUACAUCUUGGGAAGUAAAUUAGAAAGCCUCGAAUCACGUGUUUGUUACACUUACAAUUGUACACUGUUUUAUUGUAUACUGAAGACGUCCAAUAAUUGUUAAGAUCUAAUCAACGUUAAACAAUUCUGGUUCGGGACGAUAAUGGAGGCAAAUAUGCGGCACGAUUAAAUUAGUAAGCGUUUUUCUCGUCGACCAUGAAUCCAGAGCAUGUAGAGUCUCGUAAAUUUCAUCAUUCAAAAAUUGUAUCAAUCCGAUCAAUGAUCAAUACUAUUAUGUCGAUCAAUCGUUUUAUUUUUCUAUAUUACGAUCAAGUGUUAGUUUUUUUAUAGCAAUCAAUCGUGAGAUUAAACUGCAACCAAUUGUUAAUGUUAUUUUGUCGCUCAACGAAAUGUUAUGUUGUUAUCAUUGUCAAGUACGAUUUGAUAUGUUCUGAAUGAAUUUAAUUCAUUGUUAUUUUUUUUUUUCAAUGCGGCAUUUAUUUCAUUUUAUCAUUUGCCGUGUUUUUGUGUAAGUUUUGUUGUCAGGUGAGUAUCGUCAGUUAACCCACCGCCCCUCUACUGAAUGCAGAGCUGCCAGUCUAAUCAAGGUUAUCAAUCGUCGAGGUGGUUCCUCGUUGAAUUAUCUUGGCGUCUAACUAAAAAUUUUGUCGCUACACGUUGCCAAUUGCAAGUGUUCUUGGACUUCACUUUCGGUCAACAAAAUUGAUAAAUCAUUUAAAAAUUAUUGAGAUGUUUUCAAGAAUUUGAUAGCCUCGGAAUUAAAUUAGAGACAGUUAACCCUCAUUUGACUCAUGAGUCAAGCAAGAACGUCCUUGAGGGAAGUAGAUAAAUGGCAUUAGAGUACUUAAAAAAACUUAAAGUUCGUCAUUUUAUUAACGGAUGAGGUUCAUUCGUGGAGAAUUUCAGGAAAUAACACAACAAAAACUCCAACAAGCACUACGCCAAUUUGUGAUUGUAAUCCAGAUUCAAUCAUUGAUCCAAGAGCUCCAAAUUAUGAUCCCUUAAUGACUCGUGUUGGAUUUCUUCCAAAGGUAUGGCAAAUAGAAACAAUUAUGACAGUCAAAGAAAUAGAAGCAUUGACAAAUAACAUUGAUGAAAAGUUAAGUGAAUAUUUGAGUGAUACAAGUCAUUAUAGAUUACAACCUUUUGGUAAAAACGUAAGUUCUCUCGAUCUGCGUAAUUUACCAAAAGUUGUUUUAUUAAAACCAACGCUUCUGGAUGAUAACUCAAAAGUAGCUAAAACAUUUACGACAAAUGACUCCACUGUGGAAAUUAAAUCAUUCCUCGAGAGGUCACCUCCAUCAAUUGAUAAUGUUUGGAUGACUUUUAAUUCCCAUAGUUCAGAACCUAUGGUAUAUAUUAAAGUAGAUACAAAUUGGCCGAUUGCGAAAGAUUUUCAUAAUGGAAGAAUGAGAAUGAUAUUCAACGCGGUUCCUGUGUAUUUUUAAAUUUCACGAGUCAGUAAUUUUUUAUGCUGAAGCGAUCCAUUAUAUUUAUUGUGAGAUCACACUAUCUAUUCGAUUUAAAAUGUAUCCGGAUUUUAAAACAAUCAUUGCAAAACAAAUUACAGAUUUCUUACCAUUAUUUCUGUAUACCAUAAUACAAAAACAUAAAUAAAAUUUAACAAAUAAAAA